rnacentral:rRNA from 1 species
UGGCUCAGAACGAACGCGGGCGGCGUGCCUAACACAUGCAAGUCGAACGGACUCAUAUAGAAGUAGCAAUACGGAAAUAUGAGUUAGUGGCGGACGGGUGAGUAACACGUAGGUAACCUACCCUUGGGAGGGGGACAACUCAGGGAAACUUGAGCUAAUACCCCAUAAGACCACGAACUGAGAUAUUAGUGGUAAAAGUAGCAAUACACCCAGGGAUGGGCCUGCGGCCUAUCAGGUAGUUGGUGAGGUAACGGCUCACCAAGCCAAAGACGGGUAGCCGGGCUGAGAGGUUGAACGGCCACACUGGAACUGAGAUACGGUCCAGACUCCUACGGGAGGCAGCAGUGGGGAAUCUUGCACAAUGGGCGAAAGCCUGAUGCAGCGACGCCGCGUGGAGGAUGAAGGCCUUCGGGUUGUAAACUCCUUCUCUUGGGAAAGAUAAUGACGGUACCCAAGGAAUAAGCCACGGCUAACUCUGUGCCAGCAGCCGCGGUAAGACAGAGGUGGCAAGCGUUGUUCGGAAUCACUGGGCUUAAAGGGCGAGUAGGCGGUGGAGCAAGUCUGAGGUGGAAUCUUAGGGCUUAACCCUAAAACUGCCUUAGAAACUGUUUCACUUGAGUCAAUGAGGGGAGGGCGGAAUUCCUGGUGUAGCGGUGAAAUGCGUAGAUAUCAGGAGGAAGGCCUGUGGCGAAAGCGGCCCUCUGGCAUUGUACUGACGCUGAGGCGCGAAAGCGUGGGGAGCAAACAGGAUUAGAUACCCUGGUAGUCCACGCCCUAAACGGUGGGCAUUAGGUGUAGGGCUCGUAAGGGUUCUGUGCCGAAGGGAAACCAUUAAAUGCCCCGCCUGGGGAGUACGGCCGCAAGGUUGAAACUCAAAG